rnacentral:rRNA from 1 species
CAGUAGCCGCGGUAAUACGUAGGUGGCAAGCGUUAUCCGGAAUUAUUGGGCGUAAAGCGCGCGUAGGCGGUUUUUUAAGUCUGAUGUGAAAGCCCACGGCUCAACCGUGGAGGGUCAUUGGAAACUGGAAAACUUGAGCGCAGAAGAGGAAAGUGGAAUUCCAUGUGCAGCGGUGAAAUGCGCAGAGAUAUGGAGGAACACCAGUGGCGAAGGCGACUUUCUGUCUGUAACUGACGCUGAUGUGCGAAAGCGUGGGGAUCAAACAGGAUUAGAUACCCCAGUAGUCCCUGUCUCUUAUACA